rfam:Lyngbya confervoides BDT141951 scaffold_4, whole genome shotgun sequence.
AGCGUGUCUUGCGAUGCCGAAGCCAGACUGCCCGUCGAACUGAUGCUGGACUUCGUUGAGGCGCAUCGGAAUGCGCACGGCGUCGAGCCGAUCUGUGCGGUACGGCCGAUCGCCCCU